rnacentral:lncRNA from 1 species
GCCUGAUCAAGGCUCACCACAGCCUCAACCUUCUUGGCUCAAGUGAUCAUCUCACCUCAGCCUCCAGAGUAGCUGAAGUACAGCUAUGAGUUCCUUAACAGCAGGUUUGUCAGGAGUUCCUAAGACUAUCCCCAGGUUCAGUGAUUCACUUGAAGGACUCACAGGACUCACCAUUGAGUUGCAGCACAGGGAAAAGACACACGGAGAGAAGUUUGGAAGAAACCAGCUCAAAGAGUCCCAGGUGUGCUGGUGCCUAACCCUGGCUGCCAAUCAGAAUUACCUAGGGGCACGUUCGAGAACUUCCCAGGGGAUGUCUAACUUCUAGCAUAACAGAGUGAGAAGGCUCACAAAUCCUCUUCCCACAAAGCAACUAUAAAGCUGGUCAAGAGUCAAAAACAACCUAGUUGGUGCUCUGGAAAGCAAGCAAGACAUUCAACAAACUGAGAAGUGUUUAUUCAUGAAACCCACUGGACUCCAGCACUUCUCCCGAUGUUACAGCUCCUCUACAAUCAACAGCGGAAUGAGAGGGGAGAAAAAAAUCAUACCAGUCUCAUGAGAGCUAAAAUGACCCUCCCAAGAUGAAAGAGCAAGCUACAAGAGAACCAAGGUCUCCAGACUCUAGCGUCUCCCCAGUGAUAGCACAGCCAUUAUUCCUCAGGAAAAGAAAACCAUGAACAGCAUCUGGAGAGGUCAAUCACUUCCACAACCACCCUGCCUGUCCCUUCUGAGAAGGGACCAAAUCCUACCAUUCCAGAGCAAGGCUGCUCAUGUGUAAUCUCCGGAGUCCUUUCUGGAUCUUCUCUAUGACUUAAUCCAAACAGUGAGACAUCUGUUUGAAUUCCACCAUUCCACAACAUACCUAACCCUCAACAGGACUCGCUUUUAGAAAAUGGUUUCAAAGUAACUUAAGUUCCACACUGUGAAUCUACAUUUUCUGGCUAUUUAUAAAUUUGUUGCCAGUUGCCUCAAGUUUACUUUAAUCAACUGUAAUAGACCAAAAUAUAUAAGUUAAGCCUACGACAUCCUCCCCUAUGAUGCAGUCAAUGUUAGGGGUAUUUUAGUGAGCUCAGUUUUUUUUUUUUAAGAGAUGGGUCUCACUAUGUUGCCCAGGCUGGUCUCGAACUCCUGGUCUUAUGGGAUCCUCCCACCUUGGCCUCCCAAAGUGCUGGGAUUACAGGCGUGAGCCACCGCACCCCGCCAGUGAGCACAGCUGACAACAAGCUGCUUUUCAGGUCCGUGAUAAAAGGAAAAUAUUAUAAGAUUAAUGAGAUUUACUAAUUAGAUAUACUCGCUGAUAAUGUGUUUUAUUUUAAUGAAAAGCCAUGAGAUUUAUAAGUACCCUCCUCUGCAUCAAAACAAUAAACCUGAAAUCCUAAAG